rnacentral:rRNA from 1 species
AUCUAUACUGUGAAACUGCGAAUGGCUCAUUAAAUCAGUUAUCGUUUAUUUGAUAGUACCUUACUACUUGGAUAACCGUGGUAAUUCUAGAGCUAAUACAUGCUAAAAACCCCGACUUCGGAAGGGGUGUAUUUAUUAGAUAAAAAACCAAUGCCCUUCGGGGCUCCUUGGUGAAUCAUGAUAACUUAACGAAUCGCAUGGCCUUGUGCCGGCGAUGGUUCAUUCAAAUUUCUGCCCUAUCAACUUUCGAUUGUAGGAUAGAGGCCUACAAUGGUUUCAACGGGUAACGGGGAAUUAGGGUUCUAUUCCGGAGAGGGAGCCUGAGAAACGGCUACCACAUCCAAGGAAGGCAGCAGGCGCGCAAAUUACCCAAUCCCGAUACGGGGAGGUAGUGACAAUAAAUACUGAUACAGGGCUCUUUUGGGUCUUGUAAUUGGAAUGAGUACAAUUUAAAUCUCUUAACGAGGAACAAUUGGAGGGCAAGUCUGGUGCCAGCAGCCGCGGUAAUUCCAGCUCCAAUAGCGUAUAUUAAAGUUGUUGCAGUUAAAAAGCUCGUAGUUGAACCUUGGGCCUGGCUGGCCGGUCUGCCUCACCGCAUGUACUGGUUCGGCCGGGUCUUUCCUCCUGGGGAUCCGCAUGCCCUUCACUGGGUGUGUUGGGGAACCAGGACUUUUACUUUGAAAAAAUUAGAGUGUUCAAAGCAGGCCUUUGCUCGAAUACAUUAGCAUGGAAUAAUAGAAUAGGACGUGCGGUCCUAUUUUGUUGGUUUCUAGGACCGCCGUAAUGAUUAAUAGGGAUAGUCGGGGGCAUCAGUAUUCAGUUGUCAGAGGUGAAAUUCUUGGAUUUACUGAAGACUAACUACUGCGAAAGCAUUUGCCAAGGAUGUUUUCAUUAAUCAGUGAACGAAAGUUAGGGGAUCGAAGACGAUCAGAUACCGUCGUAGUCUUAACCGUAAACUAUGCCGACUAGGGAUCGGGCGAUGUUAUUCUUUUGACUCGCUCGGCACCUUACGAGAAAUCAAAGUCU